rnacentral:rRNA from 1 species
CCUGAACGCUGGCGGCGUGGUUAAGACAUGCAAGUCGCACGGGCGUAGCAAUACGCUAGUGGCGAACGGGUGAGUAAUGAAUCGCUAACGUACCCCGGACUCUGGGACAGCCGGCCGAAAGGCCGGGUAAUACCAGAUGACAUACCCCUCGGGCAUCCGCGGGGGUCUACAAAGGAGCAAUCCGGUCUGGGCGCGGGCGAUUUCGUAUCAGCUAGUUGGUGCGGGUAACGGCCCACCAAGGCGACGACGCGUAGCCGGACUGAGAGGUUGGCCGGCCACAUCGGGACUGAGACACUGCCCGGACUCCUACGGGGGGCUGCAGUAACGAAUCUUCCCAAUGCACGCAAGUGUGAGGGAGCGACGCCGCGUGUGGGACGAAGUCC